rnacentral:misc_RNA from 1 species
UCCGGUUUAACACCGGCGGUCUCUCUAGAGUGCUCAACUAAAUGGUCGCAACUAGAAACAAGGGUUGCGCUCGUUGCGGGACUUAACCCAACAUCUUACGACACGAGCUGACGACAGCCAUGCAGCACCUAUCUCCACGUCCCCGAAAGGAAAGUCUCAUCUCUGAGAUUGUCGUGGGAUGUUAAGCCCAGGUAAGGUUCUGCGCGUUGCUUCGAAUUAAACCACAUACUCCACCGCUUGUGCGGGCCCCCGUCAAUUCCUUUGAGUUUUAGCCUUGCGACCGUACUUCCCAGGCGGAAUACUUACUGCGUUAGCUGUGGUACCCAGAGGGUUAACACUCCGAGCACCUAGUAUUCAUCGUUUAUGGCAUGGACUAC